UACGUAGGGACCGAGCGUUGUUCGGAAUCACUGGGCGUAAAGCGCACGUAGGCGGAUUUGUAAGUCAGGGGUGAAAUCCCGGGGGCUCAACCUCGGAACUGCCUUUGAUACUGCGAAUCUUGAGUCCGAUAGAGGUGGGUGGAAUUCCUAGUGUAGAGGUGAAAAUUCGUAGAUAUUAGGAAGAACACCGGUGGCGAAGGCGGCCCACUGGAUCGGUACUGACGCUGAGGUGCGAAAGCGUGGGGGAGCAAACAGG
rnacentral:rRNA from 1 species